CAAACAUAUAUUAAUUGAAUGCUCUGUGCCAGGCUCUGUACAUGAGAAAACAGACCCAGAGAGUUUAAAUGAUUUGUCCAGAGUCAAAGAGCCAAUAGUGUCUGAGACAGAAUUUGAACCCAAGUCAGCAGCUCUCAUCACUGUACCAUGCUAACUUGUGAUGAGAAUAAAGUCUCCUGCUUUAUUUCUCCUUUCUCAAUCAGGAUAAGCCCUCAUCCUUCUCAGGCAAAGCCUACUAGAUGAUAAACUCAAGCUAUGGGCUGGGGGUUUGACUUUUUUCCUUUGACACGGGUUAUCUCCCUGUAUCCUCCCAGCCUUCCUGAGAGGGAGGCGGCAGACGGUCCAGAGGAGGAAAGGGUCCCAGAGGUUACCCAGUUAGUUCCUGCAAAGCUGGAUUAGAAGCCAGGUCGGAUUCUGUCCUGUGUGACCACACUGCCUUCUUUGGGACAGCCUCCAGGCCCUCCAUCUUUGAUCCAGAGCGGGAAGAAAAAGGAUGAGUUGAAGCAUCUUCAAGCCCACUUGGCGCUCUGACUCACACUUCUCCGGGAGCAUCUGUUCAGAGAAUAUUUAAUGAAUUAGCUGCAGGUCAGAGGCCAAGUUACCCAGGCAGCCCAUCGCUGGGCAAAGUUGGAGUCAGAAGCUUGGCCCAGCAAGCAAGGGUUGUCCACCCAAACCACAGGAAAUGGCUUAAUGACCAAGGAUCAGGACCAGGCUCCUCCGUCUCUGAUUUGCUGAGUGUCCUGAGCAAAUUGAUGAACCUUUCCCCAACCAUGUUAGGAUGGGAAAGAGAAUGUCAGAACUGGGAGGAAUCUUAGAACAUGGGAUGUCAUAGCAGGGAGAAGACCUAAGAAUCCAGACCACAAGAACUGGGAGAAAAGAAGGAAGGAAAUGAACAAUAUUAAGCACCUACUAUGUGCUAGGAGUUUGCCAGGGCAGGUUUUCUCCAGUGACCCAGUUCUCCCCGAAGAGAAGAUUUGUUCCAGGGCUCACAUCAGCACUUGGGAAAUCCAAGCCCUCCAAUACCAGCCCAAGGCACAAAGGGAAAUUAAAAAGAGGGAAAAUCUUCCUCUGCCUCAAUUAUGACUUCAUGGUUCCUGGAAAGAACUCAUCAGUCAAAAAUUCUACAAGUUUGACACCGUGGGCCAUUUUUAUAGCAUCAUCAGAUUGGAGAUCUGACUGAAAUCUGGAAGGACACUUGGAAAUCAUCAAGCUUAACCCUUUUAUCUUGCAAAUAAGGAAACCAAGGCAGCAAGAAGGCACUUGCCAGGGUCAUAUGCUCAAGGAUCAGUGAGAAAUAUGAAUCAUGAGGAGGUAACUUGCCAGGAGCUGGUCUGAGAUCCAUGGAGAUGUUAUCACUCCCCGUCCAUCAACAGAACCAUGACCUGCGGACAGCCCACAGCAAGAGGAGCCUUCAGAUUCCCCUGCCCCUGAGCUAGGCUGCACUGGCUGCCCAGGAUCUCAGAGGGGAGGGAGGGAAAUUCCUCCCCUGGGACGGGACAGAGCAGCUGGUGGAGGGGAAGGAGCCCAUCCUGAGCUUUAGACAAAGCCAGUUUACAGUUGGGCGCCUGAGGAAGACACAUUCUGACUACAGUGGACUGGACUGGCUGUGGAGCCUCAGUUGUGACCAACAGGUCAGGGGCAAGUCCCAAGAUCAUUGAUUUCAAGCACCUUGGAAGUCAUCCGGGCCAACCCUGACAUGUCAAAAAUAAAGGAUUCAGCCCAGAGAAGUGAAGGACUUUGCUCAAAGUAGGAUUUGAAUCCAGGACCGCUGUCCCCACAUUAAUAUGAGUACAUAAUGAAUGUUCCCAAUUCCCAAGAGUCUCUGCUGUGGAGUGUUUUUGGUUAACAUAAUCAAACUGAGCAGCAGCUAAUAUUUGAUAAUGGGAAGAGAAAGAACUAAGCACUUAUUAAGCGCCUAUCCUGUGCCAGGUGCUUUACAAAUGCUAUUUCUGGAUCAGCUAGUGAGCCAUGUCUAGAGAGGACGGCCUCAGUUCAAAUCUGCUCCUAACAAUGUCACUUGAGCCCAGGUGCCUAGUCCUUGCCUCUCUUCUUAGAAUGCAUACAGAGACAGAAGAUAAAGGCUAAUAACUGGGUGUAUUUGUAUACAGACAUAAUUUCAUUUGAUCCUCAGGACGUACGUGUUAUUUAUUAUGCCCAUUUUACAGAUGGGGAAACUGCUAUGAGAGUUAGACAUAAUUUCCAAUCCAGCCUCAGAUACUUAAUAGCUGUGUUACCUUGAGUAAGUCAUUUAAUCCUGUUUCCUCCACUGUAAAAUGGGGAUAAUUAUAUAGUACCUAAU